AUCCAGACUCCUACGGGAGGCAGCAGUGGGGAAUAUUGCACAAUGGGGGGAACCCUGAUGCAGCGACGCCGCGUGGGUGAAGAAGUCAUUCGUGACGUAAAGCCCUGUCAGCAGGGAAGAAAAUGACGGUACCUGAAGAAGAAGCCCCGGCUAACUACGUGCCAGCAGCCGCAGUAAUACGUAGGGGGCAAGCGUUAUCCGGAUUUACUGGGUGUAAAGGGGGCGCAGACGGCGAUGCAAGCCAGGAGUGAAAGCCCGGGGCCCAACCCCGGGACUGCUCUUGGAACUGCGUGGCUAGAGUGCAGGAGGGGCAGGCGGAAUUCCUGGUGUAGCGGUGAAAUGCGUAGAUAUUAGGAGGAACACCAGUGGCGAAGGCGGCCUACUGGACGGUGACUGACGCUGAGGCUCGAAAGCGUGGGGAGCAAACAGGAUUAGAUACCCGAGUACG
rnacentral:rRNA from 1 species